rnacentral:lncRNA from 1 species
AUGCUUGGGGCGGUGCGCGGCCCUCUGCCGCGGGGCGGCCGCGCAACUUGCGCUACCCGUGGCCGUGGCUGCGAAAGGGCGGGCGGUGUGGGCUCGACGGGCCGGGAGGGCGGCCCGCAGUCAGGAAGGGAGCAAAGGGAAACUUCCCUCUCGGUCGCAGAAAUUGAUCACAACGAAAAUAAGAUUAGCAGUGCUGGCUGUCCCCGCGGUAGGCAGUGGAAAGUGCGGGCUUGGCCGCGGGAGGCAGCCCGCUGGGCGCGCAGUCCGGUAUCGUGGAUCCCUGUGCGACAUUGCACCCACGGGGGUCGGCAUCUCUGGGCUCUGCCGGGCCGGAGCCUUCGUCGUGAGGCAUUGCUGCUGCUGGGAUGGGGAAAGGCCGAGCGGACUCGCUAGAAAGUUUUCCGGGCUUGGGCAGUGCAACUGGGAAGCACGGAACGGGGCAUCUGCCCGCGGGCCACCAUGAUCUGCGGGCCGUGGGGCCCGGCGUGGGGCACGAACCCUUGUUCUCCUCUUGUGCUUCCCUCCUCUUGCACACAGGAGGAAAACCCGAGCGUCCCUUCUGACCUGUGAUUGUCUCCCAGCAGAACUGGGCCUGCCCUGAACGCCAAAAGAGAUGCGCAGCGGUGGGCACGGGACGUGCGCCCGGGCAGCAGCUGAGAGGUGUCCCCCUAAGGUCUCGACAUCUAUGGCGGCAGCCCCUACAGCAAACGGGGACACUUGGCCCCAGCCAUGCCUGCGGAGAGGUCAUUUAGGCGCCAGGUUAGCACGGCGCUUUGUGGGGUUUUUUUUUUUAUCUCAAACUGAUUUUUUAUUUUUCUAAAAUGUUGCUUUGCUUUUCGUCUAUAAAAAAAAAAAAAACACCCAAACAAAACAGCUUUUUUUUUUUUUUUUUUUUAAUAGAUUUGAGGAACCAUUCCAUUUACGUGGUGGUUCUGGUGGUUUCUCACUUGUACUCGCUCAACUGUCACUUAAACUGUGGAAAACGUAGAGAGGAGGAAUAUUCUCCUAUCUAAGUUUCCUCCUUGGAAUUUCUUCUUAAAGUAAUUACAGUUCCUAUUAUGUUCUGCAAAGGUCAUAAUCAAAAAUAGCAGAGAAAUGCAUGCAAAUAGUAGAGAGGGCAUGGAUUAAACCCCCUUCCCGACCACCACAGGCCAGAUGGGGAACAUGAUGGGGCUGUUUUGUGGAUGGAGACAUUUAAGGGAGUGGUUCCAAAUCGGCAUUUUAUGAUAUCUGGGGCCCUUUCUGAUAGCCAAGAAGUUCGGGAAAGGCGUUUCGAAGUUAGCUAUUUUCAUAGGGUUCAACUUCGUAACACUGUUGGUAACUCUGGGGCUGCAGCGUUUUGGCCAGUUGCCUGUACGCUGCUCUCAGCUCCCCAAAAGUACGCCGCUAGAGAAGGAUGAGCUUAGAGUUUCGGCCUGUCCUCUGGAGACUUGGUUUGGACGUUUCGGGCGGGUCGCGCUCGGCGCACGCGAAAGUCGGUGCGGGUUUUGCGGGUUGUGCGGGAGUCAGCGCGGCGAUGCCGCUGCGUGGAAAGGAGCGGUGGCGCACGGUCGGGGGCUGCACGCCUGCCCGCGCCCACCUAUAGAUGAGCGUGAGGUAAGAGUGCGCAGUCUUUAUUGCGUCGUUUGAUUGCGCAGGCAAAAGCGUGUAGCGCCGAGGCGCGCACAUGGCUCCACUGCACAGCACAGGAGAGCUGCGGUGCGGCCCCUGGAAGCGCUCCCCCGUCCACUUCCCGAAAUAAACCAUUUCAACAGCAACGGGUAAUCGAACA